AUUGAACGCUGGCGGCAGGCCUAACACAUGCAAGUCGAACGGUAGCACAGAGAGCUUGCUCUCGGGUGACGAGUGGCGGACGGGUGAGUAAUGUCUGGGAAACUGCCCGAUGGAGGGGGAUAACUACUGGAAACGGUAGCUAAUACCGCAUAAUGUCGCAAGACCAAAGAGGGGGACCUUCGGGCCUCUUGCCAUCGGAUGUGCCCAGAUGGGAUUAGCUAGUUGGUGAGGUAAUGGCUCACCAAGGCGACGAUCCCUAGCUGGUCUGAGAGGAUGACCAGCCACACUGGAACUGUGACACGGUCCAGACUCCUACGGGAGGCAGCAGUGGGGAAUAUUGCACAAUGGGCGCAAGCCUGAUGCAGCCAUGCCGCGUGUGUGAAGAAGGCCUUCGGGUUGUAAAGCACUUUCAGCGGGGAGGAAGGCAAUACGGUUAAUAACCGUGUUGAUUGACGUUACCCGCAGAAGAAGCACCGGCUAACUCCGUG
rnacentral:rRNA from 1 species